rnacentral:rRNA from 1 species
UACAUGUGGGGCAAGCGUUGUUCGGAAUUACUGGGCAUAAAGGGUGCGUAGGUGGUUUGGUAAGUCAGUGGUGAAAUCGUCCGGCCCAACCGGACACGUGCCAAUGAUACUGCCGAACUCGAGUGCGUGAGGGGUGGGGGGAACGAGCAGUGUAGCGGUGAAAUGCGUAGAGAUCGGGAGGAACAUCAGUGGCGAAGGCGACCCUCUGGACCAGCACUGACGCUGAGGCACGAAAGCGUGGGGAGCAAACAGG